AAAAAAAAAAAAAAAGUCUGUAAGGGAAAAAAUGUGUGUGAAUAUCUUAUCUGCAUGACAGAAUGAGGACUUGGGUCUUUGUGCAUAAUAUGUGUAACAAUAAUGACCCAGUAUUAAAGUGCUCCAGUGGCUGUCAUAUUUGUAGUCUAAAAAUGGUAGCAAGUAAAAAGAGAGAGAGUGGGAUAUGUUGAUGUGUAUCCUCUCCUUUUGUCUCUCAGAGCAAAAGUUCUGCUUUCUCAUUAAGUUUCCAGUGCACAUUUGCAGUACUGCGCAGAAAGAGGAAUGUGGUUGUGGUUAAUUGUUUAAAUAUUCUUUUGUUCCCGAAGCUUUCAGAACAAAUCACACCUUUUGAGGAGCUAGUUCAGAAGUGACGUGGGCAAGAUAUUGCAAGAGAAUGUUGGACGUGAAGUUAAAUGUGACUCAGAGAAGAGAAAGAGAAGGUGUGGAGGUUGUUCUAAAGAAGGAAGGAAAACCAGCUAUAUUAUUAGCACUUCCAGUAGCGUAUGUGCCGGCAGUUCUUCUUGAAAAAAAAACAUAUAGGCUUCAAUAACUCAAAUCCAUCCUUGGUGUAACCACAAUGGAAUUACGGUUGGAUCAGCAGCUUUGCUGGUUCAUAAGUCUUCUAGCGUUACUGAAAACAGAUACUACCAAUGAGCAUUACUUGGUCCAAUAUGCUUUUACUGUCUGUGUUUAAUAUCCGUCUGUCUUCUUCACAGUAAACAAGGAGAAAGUCUGGUAGCUACAGAAGGUACUUUGCAUCAUGCAGUCCAACUGGGGCAAUUAUUAGCUAUUUUCAGCUCAAAAGAGCUGCUCUUAAAGCUAGCUAAAGCAUGAACCUGUGCUUGGUCUUUGGGACCCCACUGUAACCUUAUUAUGUAUUUGUAUGCAGAAAGUAAAACAUGGAUGGAAAAUUACCACUUCAAGACAACUGCAAGGUGUUUUGGCAACUCUGAGUAAUGGGAUGAGUUUUCUCACAAUAAUGCUCAUGUCCAGUGCUUAAUCAUACACUUGAAACAAUUGGGCUCAGACCUUAUGAAAAGUGUUUACUUACUCGGCUUUAAGUCACAGGCCAAGAAAUAACUUGAUCGGAUUAGUCGGGGUUGAAUAGGAACGGCAGCAAAUAGAAUCAAAUGAGUGUGAACGGUGCUGCUGUACUCUGCAUAGAAGAAUAUCUGCCAGCUGCCGUUGCAGAGCAUAAUCCUGCAAGAUGCUGACGCCUCCGGUUCCUGUUCCCUAAGGGAGCAGGCGGGGCUGCUCUGGCGUGUGGUUCCCAUCACUCACCUGAGUGAGCUUUUUCUCUGAACUCCUUAUUUUCCCUCUUACAUAAAAGUCGGUUCUUUUGUACCUCCUCUUUUCAGAAAGGCUCUCAGCGCUUGCAGGGAUGGGGUGCGUGGCUGGUUAUUCUCAGCUGCAAGAUUACAGCGAUGGCAGCAGCAAGGUCAGUGGGGCAUGCACACAGCUCAGCUGGAGAGCAGAUGUGAGCAGAUCAUUUAAGGGAAGCAGCUGAAACUCUCAGAGCCAAAUGAGGAUAAGAUGAAAUUUUGAAAUGUAAGCGCUUUGUUUAAAUUCCUUUUUACUUAUGCACAUUAUACCUGGAACACCGCGGAACUGAACACACUGAGAGGGGAAAGAAGUUUCUUAUGCUUGAACUUGGAUGCGUGAAGCCAAAGAUAUAAAAUGAGGUUGUUGGAGCUGCUUUUAUCAUUGCUGAAAUUUGUUGGGUUAACCUCCACACACACAAAAUCAUUACCUGUUGUGAUUUGCCGGAGAUGUGAAUAUGAUGGAAGUACCACCGUAUGUCUGUGUGUCUGUGCAUUCCCACGGGCCCUUGCACUGUCAGGAUCAAACAAAAACAAAACCAGAACUUUAAGAAAUUGCGUGUUUUCUGGAAAUUUUGGAGAACAUUCUGUUCAAAAGAGUUCUGGUUGUGAGAUGUCAGUCUUACUGCCUCCUUGUCUCCAUGUGCCUUUCCUGGAGGUGGUCAUGUGAGAACGUCUCAAUUUCUGGUGAAGAAUUCGUUGUGAACAUCUGCCUUUGCCACUGUUCCACACCAGGGAGAACUGUCUGUGCGUUAUUCUUUGAGGAUUAUUUGGCUCUAAGCGUUCGGGUCUGGAAGUACAGUGUCUGAAUGAGCCACGUGUGUUAGCGACAUAUUUACAGGUUAGAUGCAUGAUGAUCAUUUUCUAGUGCAGCAGGCAUGUACCUUUCCUGUGGUAAGUGCAGAUGAACACAGGUACUCAUUCAAGCAGAAAUGCUAUUUGCAUACUCAUUUUUAUCCUCCCUCCAAUUUCACUGCUAAUGGCAGUGGAAUUGUGGUUUUGUGCUGUUGGGGCUAAUGGGCAUUCCUGCCUUUGGCUGUGUUUUGAGAAUUUUAAGAGACUAUUAGACAAAUUGAUAGAAUCAAUUAAAUGCCUGCUCUUCUUGUUAUAGAAACCCUGGAGACUUUCAAAUAAUCUUCUCUGGUGUUGUAUCUUUAGCCUUCAAGGCUUCACAAAUUGCUGGAACAGAACAAAGUUGGCUGGCUAUUUUCUCCAGGAUCUGACAAAAAUCCUAGAGAACACGAUGUUCCAGUAAUCAUCUCUUCUUUUCAAGUGUCUGUUCAUGUUUUUAAUCUCUCUUCCCUUUCCCUUUGUCAGGAGACAUCAUAUCCUAGUUAAGAAAAAACACAAAACCAAAAAAAUAAAGAGAAAACCUACAGCAGCAUUGUUCCUCCCCGUGUCUUUCAUUUUGCUUCAUUUCUGUGCUGAAUCACAGUGUUCUGAUACAGCCUUCUUUGUGGUGUAAUUGUUUUCUGUAAUCCAUUUUCUUUGGGCUCCUCUUAGCUUCUGUCUGAAGCUGUUGCUGCUAUAAUGAAUGUAGUCAUAAAUCUGUCACAGGUAACAAGCUAAAUGCAGAGCUCAGUGCAGCAGGGAAGGGCAUCUGCAGCUCAGGGAGCACACUGAGGUGCUGCAGUUAUGGAGCAGGCAGAAAAAGUCCCCUGCUGACAGAUGAACAGAAGAGGACACCUAAUUCUUGGUUCUCUCAUAAAUCCACUGCCACUCUCUCGUUCCGAUUUCUGCAGGGUUGCUGUAUGACAAUAUAGGCAUGGGUGGAAAAUGGAAGUACACGGCUGAGAUCUGGGGAUUAGGUGUCUGGCAGGAAAGGACCAUGUGGUGUGUGAGCCAGCUGUGCUGAAGAGACACCUGCUCCCCACUGGUGUGUUCCCCAAGGCAGCAGUCCCAAAACAGCUGGGGAAUUGUGUGUGCGUUGGGCCUGGGUAAACCUUGGGCUCCCACUGCCGGGCAGCUUGGCAGGACUGUAAGGCAUCGUAAUGUUCUCUUUUGAAUCAUAGUGUCAAGAAGGCUGGCAAAGACCACUAAGAUCAUCUCAUCCAGCCAAGAGCCCAUGCCCACCAUGCCCACUAUCCAUGUCCCUCAGUGCCACAUCUUCAUCACCAUUUUCUUGAACACCUCCAGGGACAGUGACUCCACCAGCUCUCUGGGCAGCCUGUGCCAAUACCUCAGCACUCUUUCUGAGAAGGAAUUCAUCCUAAUAUCCAACCAGAAUCUCCCCUGGAGCAACUUAGAACCAUUACCACUCAUCCUAUCACUAGUUAAGUAAGAGCAGAGGCCAACCCCCACCUCACCGCAACCUCCUUUCAGGGAGCUGUGGGGAGCAAUAGGAUCUCCCCUGAG
rnacentral:lncRNA from 1 species